GAUGAACGCUGGCGGCGUGCCUAAUACAUGCAAGUCGAGCGAACGGACGAGAAGCUUGCUUUUCUGAUGUUAGCGGCGGACGGGUGAGUAACACGUGGAUAACCUACCUAUAAGACUGGGAUAACUUCGGGAAACCGGAGCCAAUACCGGAUAAUAUUUUGAACCGCAUGGUUCAAAAGUGAAAGACGGUCUUGCUGUCGCUUAUAGAUGGAUCCGCGCUGCAUUAGCUAGUUGGUAAGGUAACGGCUUACCAAGGCAACGAUGCAUAGCCGACCUGAGAGGGUGAUCGGCCACACUGGAACUGAGACACGGUCCAGACUCCUACGGGAGGCAGCAGUAGGGAAUCUUCCGCAAUGGGCGAAAGCCUGACGGAGCAACGCCGCGUGAGUGAUGAAGGUCUUCGGAUCGUAAAACUCUGUUAUUAGGGAAGAACAUAUGUGUAAGUAACUGUGCACAUCUUGACGGUACCUAAUCAGAAAGCCACGGCUAACUACGUG
rnacentral:rRNA from 1 species